CACCUUGGAAAUGCAGACUGUUGCACUCGGGAUGAAAAAUAUGUGGACACUCUGUAUUCCCCUUUGAUUUCGAGAGUGUCACGAUACAUAGGUCACCCAAGUGAACAAUAUCUAAAGUGUUCUAAGAUUCCCCAAGUCUCCUGGGAAUGGUAAAACAGGAUACAGCCUUUUAUUCUCAUUUCCCUCUGUGAAAUGCUCUCUCCUCUUCUUGGAACACAGGUUGGUUGCUGUGCAUGCAGAUAGGUGCUCACAAUGGGGAAUGACAUUUAAGCAUCUCACCUUCUAUGGUGUACAGCCUCUCUGUCCUUUUAAACCUUGCUGCUGGGCCAAAUGCAAAGGAGCCUCUGUGUGACUUUCCGUUUAUCUUCUGUACCCAAGCUACAAAGUUAGUGCUCGAGUGUGUCAGGUAUCACCUGGGGACUUGAGAGCGAGGCUUUUUACAGUGAACCCAAUCCCAUGACCUGUACCACAUUGCCUUUGAUUUGAAGGCGGGUUAGUUGACUACCAAGACAGCCUACUACAUUAAUCAGAAUCAAGUUCACCUGAAAUGUGGGCACACAGUAAUUGCUAGUUUGCCACAUGAUAGCUUUCGGCAUACUCUGUUACACGCUGGGUACAUGCACCAGUGGGAAAUGGGGAUGCCUUCCUCCUGUGUGUGCUGGUUGGGCAAGGCUUUCAAUUCCCAACAUUAGCAAAUCAGAAACUGAAAGAGUAAGAACGGUUCAUAUAACACCUUCAUUUUUUUUAAAUCCAUGUUCCCGCUUCUCAUUUUUCUCAUAGUUCAUUUUCUGUUUCUGUAUGUGCAAUGAAGUCUCAAAAACAGAUUUUGAACUGUUUUAAGGUCCAACUUCAAAGAUUUCUCAACCUUCCAACAUUGCUAUACUGGAGACCAAGCUGCAGAUUAAUGACAAAAUUGAAAAACCAGCAUCACUUCGUAUUAUAAAAUGGGUUUCUGUUUAUUAGGAGAGCCACUACUUCUGUUUUCCACCCCAAUGGUCAAGUCAACUACCUUGGGAAGGGCAUCUAGCUCCUGAUUACUUCAGAUAUAUCAGCUUGAAGACCUGCUGACCAUCAGGUAACAUCCGCUUGCUUUCCUGCCAAGCAGCUGUCCUCUACUGUCUGAGGCAACCUGGUAGUUUGUUUCCUUAAAUAAACUUGUCUUUCUACCCA